rnacentral:rRNA from 1 species
AGUGAACGCUGGCGGUAGGCCUAACACAUGCAAGUCGAACGGCAGCACAGUAAGAGCUUGCUCUUACGGGUGGCGAGUGGCGGACGGGUGAGGAAUACAUCGGAAUCUACUUUUUCGUGGGGGAUAACGUAGGGAAACUUACGCUAAUACCGCAUACGACCUACGGGUGAAAGCAGGGGAUCUUCGGACCUUGCGCGAUUGAAUGAGCCGAUGUCGGAUUAGCUAGUUGGCGGGGUAAAGGCCCACCAAGGCGACGAUCCGUAGCUGGUCUGAGAGGAUGAUCAGCCACACUGGAAGUGAGACGCGGUCCAGACUCCUACGGGAGGCAGCAGUGGGGAAUAUUGGACAAUGGGCGCAAGCCUGAUCCAGCCAUACCGCGUGGGUGAAGAAGGCCUUCGGGUUGUAAAGCCCUCUUGUUGGGAAAGAAAAGCAGCAGGUUAAUACCCCGCUGUUCUGACGGUACCCAAAGAAUAAGCACCGGCUAACUUCGUG